rnacentral:rRNA from 1 species
UACGUAGGGGGCAAGCGUUGUCCGGAAUCAUUGGGCGUAAAGCGCGUGUAGGCGGCCUUGUAAGUCCGUUCUGAAAGCCCGGGGCUCAACCCCGGGAGGCGGAUGGAUACUGCAGGGCUCGAGUCCGGAAGGGGCGAGUGGAAUUCCUGGUGUAGCGGUGAAAUGCGCAGAUAUCAGGAGGAACACCUAUGGCGAAGGCAGCUCGCUGGGACGGUACUGACGCUGAGGCGCGAAAGCGUGGGGAGCAAACAGG